rnacentral:misc_RNA from 1 species
AAUUAGUGAUUGUAAUUAUUUUUUAUUGACAGUAAAUUUAUUGGUGGAGUGGACUUGCGCCAAAUCACAUUAAAUUUUAUGUUCUUUAUUUUGUGCGGGUGUAAUUUUUACAAUAAGUGGUAUCAGAGCUAUGGUUUGAGAUGUCAAAGAUGAUGAGCACAAAAUUUGAGGUGGAGUCAUUCGAUGAAAAAAAUAAUUUCGGUUUAUGGCAAACAUCAUAAAGGAUGUUCUUAUACAACAAGGAUUAAUUAAAAUAUUGAACAAAAAAAAACUAGCAACCAUGAAAGAUGAUUAUUGGGAGGAGUUUCAACAAAUGGUAGUGAGUACGAUUAGAUUGACGUUAACCCCUAAUGUGAAGUAUAAUAUCUUGGAGGAGACCUCCCAAGUUAUUUUGUGGAAGAAAUUGGAGAGCUUGUACAUGUCAAAGUCACUCACAAAUUGCUUGUACUUGAAGAAGGAGGUUGUACUAACACAGAAUGGAUGAAAGUACCGACAUUAGGGAUUACCUUAACAUUUUUAAUAAAUUAAUUACUCAAUUGGCUAGUGUUGGUGUACAAGUGGAGGAUGAAGAUAAAACUUUCUUGCUUCCACCCUCUCUCCCAAAAUCUUAUAAAAGCUUGGUGACAGUCCUAACAGUUGGGAAGAAAACUUUGAAGAUGGAGGAGU